AGCGUACACGGUGGAUGCCCUGGCAGUCAGAGGCGAUGAAGGACGUGCUAAUCUGCGAUAAGCGUCGGUAAGGUGAUAUGAACCGUUAUAACCGGCGAUUUCCGAAUGGGGAAACCCAGUGUGUUUCGACACACUAUCAUUAACUGAAUUCAUAGGUUAAUGAGGCGAACCGGGGGAACUGAAACAUCUAAGUACCCCGAGGAAAAGAAAUCAACCGAGAUUCCCCCAGUAGCGGCGAGCGAACGGGGAGCAGCCCAGAGCCUGAAUCAGUGUGUGUGUUAGUGGAAGCGUCUGGAAAGGCGCGCGAUACAGGGUGACAGCCCCGUACACAAAAAUGCACAUGCUGUGAGCUCGAUGAGUAGGGCGGGACACGUGGUAUCCUGUCUGAAUAUGGGGGGACCAUCCUCCAAGGCUAAAUACUCCUGACUGACCGAUAGUGAACCAGUACCGUGAGGGAAAGGCGAAAAGAACCCCGGCGAGGGGAGUGAAAAAGAACCUGAAACCGUGUACGUACAAGCAGUGGGAGCCUCUUUUAUGGGGUGACUGCGUACCUUUUGUAUAAUGGGUCAGCGACUUAUAUUCUGUAGCAAGGUUAACCGAAUAGGGGAGCCGAAGGGAAACCGAGUCUUAACUGGGCGUUAAGUUGCAGGGUAUAGACCCGAAACCCGGUGAUCUAGCCAUGGGCAGGUUGAAGGUUGGGUAACACUAACUGGAGGACCGAACCGACUAAUGUUGAAAAAUUAGCGGAUGACUUGUGGCUGGGGGUGAAAGGCCAAUCAAACCGGGAGAUAGCUGGUUCUCCCCGAAAGCUAUUUAGGUAGCGCCUCGUGAAUUCAUCUCCGGGGGUAGAGCACUGUUUCGGCAAGGGGGUCAUCCCGACUUACCAACCCGAUGCAAACUGCGAAUACCGGAGAAUGUUAUCACGGGAGACACACGGCGGGUGCUAACGUCCGUCGUGAAGAGGGAAACAACCCAGACCGCCAGCUAAGGUCCCAAAGUCAUGGUUAAGUGGGAAACGAUGUGGGAAGGCCCAGACAGCCAGGAUGUUGGCUUAGAAGCAGCCAUCAUUUAAAGAAAGCGUAAUAGCUCACUGGUCGAGUCGGCCUGCGCGGAAGAUGUAACGGGGCUAAACCAUGCACCGAAGCUGCGGCAGCGACGCUUAUGCGUUGUUGGGUAGGGGAGCGUUCUGUAAGCCUGCGAAGGUGUGCUGUGAGGCAUGCUGGAGGUAUCAGAAGUGCGAAUGCUGACAUAAGUAACGAUAAAGCGGGUGAAAAGCCCGCUCGCCGGAAGACCAAGGGUUCCUGUCCAACGUUAAUCGGGGCAGGGUGAGUCGACCCCUAAGGCGAGGCCGAAAGGCGUAGUCGAUGGGAAACAGGUUAAUAUUCCUGUACUUGGUGUUACUGCGAAGGGGGGACGGAGAAGGCUAUGUUGGCCGGGCGACGGUUGUCCCGGUUUAAGCGUGUAGGCUGGUUUUCCAGGCAAAUCCGGAAAAUCAAGGCUGAGGCGUGAUGACGAGGCACUACGGUGCUGAAGCAACAAAUGCCCUGCUUCCAGGAAAAGCCUCUAAGCAUCAGGUAACAUCAAAUCGUACCCCAAACCGACACAGGUGGUCAGGUAGAGAAUACCAAGGCGCUUGAGAGAACUCGGGUGAAGGAACUAGGCAAAAUGGUGCCGUAACUUCGGGAGAAGGCACGCUGAUAUGUAGGUGAAGCGACUUGCUCGUGGAGCUGAAAUCAGUCGAAGAUACCAGCUGGCUGCAACUGUUUAUUAAAAACACAGCACUGUGCAAACACGAAAGUGGACGUAUACGGUGUGACGCCUGCCCGGUGCCGGAAGGUUAAUUGAUGGGGUUAGCGCAAGCGAAGCUCUUGAUCGAAGCCCCGGUAAACGGCGGCCGUAACUAUAACGGUCCUAAGGUAGCGAAAUUCCUUGUCGGGUAAGUUCCGACCUGCACGAAUGGCGUAAUGAUGGCCAGGCUGUCUCCACCCGAGACUCAGUGAAAUUGAACUCGCUGUGAAGAUGCAGUGUACCCGCGGCAAGACGGAAAGACCCCGUGAACCUUUACUAUAGCUUGACACUGAACAUUGAGCCUUGAUGUGUAGGAUAGGUGGGAGGCUUUGAAGUGUGGACGCCAGUCUGCAUGGAGCCGACCUUGAAAUACCACCCUUUAAUGUUUGAUGUUCUAACGUUGACCCGUAAUCCGGGUUGCGGACAGUGUCUGGUGGGUAGUUUGACUGGGGCGGUCUCCUCCUAAAGAGUAACGGAGGAGCACGAAGGUUGGCUAAUCCUGGUCGGACAUCAGGAGGUUAGUGCAAUGGCAUAAGCCAGCUUGACUGCGAGCGUGACGGCGCGAGCAGGUGCGAAAGCAGGUCAUAGUGAUCCGGUGGUUCUGAAUGGAAGGGCCAUCGCUCAACGGAUAAAAGGUACUCCGGGGAUAACAGGCUGAUACCGCCCAAGAGUUCAUAUCGACGGCGGUGUUUGGCACCUCGAUGUCGGCUCAUCACAUCCUGGGGCUGAAGUAGGUCCCAAGGGUAUGGCUGUUCGCCAUUUAAAGUGGUACGCGAGCUGGGUUUAGAACGUCGUGAGACAGUUCGGUCCCUAUCUGCCGUGGGCGCUGGAGAACUGAGGGGGGCUGCUCCUAGUACGAGAGGACCGGAGUGGACGCAUCACUGGUGUUCGGGUUGUCAUGCCAAUGGCACUGCCCGGUAGCUAAAUGCGGAAGAGAUAAGUGCUGAAAGCAUCUAAGCACGAAACUUGCCCCGAGAUGAGUUCUCCCUGACUCCUUGA
rnacentral:rRNA from 1 species